CCUACGGGUGGCAGCAGUAGGGAAUCUUCCACAAUGGGCGAAAGCCUGAUGGAGCAACGCCGCGUGGGUGAAGAAGGUCUUCGGAUCGUAAAACCCUGUUGUUAGAGAAGAAAGUGCGUGAGAGUAACUGUUCACGUCUCGACGGUAUCUAACCAGAAAGCCACGGCUAACUAUGUGUCAGCAGCCGCGGUAAUACGUAGGUGGCAAGCGUUAUCCGGAUUUAUUGGGCGUAAAGGGAACGCAGGCGGUCAUUUAAGUCUGAUGUGAAAGCCUUGGGCUUAACCUGAGUAGUGCAGUGGAAACUGGGAGACUUGAGUGCAGAAGAGGAGAGUGGAACUCCGUGUGUAGCGGUGAAAUGCGUAGAUAUAUGGAAGAACACCAGUGGCGAAGGCGGCUCUCUGGGCUGUAACUGACGCUGAGGUUCGAAAGCGUGGGGAGCAAACAGGAUUAGAUACCCCAGUAGUC
rnacentral:rRNA from 1 species